rnacentral:rRNA from 1 species
GACGAACGCUGGCGGCGUGCCUAAUACAUGCAAGUCGAGCGAAUCAAUGGGAGCUUGCUCCCUGAGAUUAGCGGCGGACGGGUGAGUAACACGUGGGUAACCUGCCUGUAAGACUGGGAUAACUUCGGGAAACCGGAGCUAUUACCGGAUACUUUCUUUUCUCGCAUGAGGGAAGAUGGAAAGAUGGUUCUGCUAUCACUUACAGAUGGACCCGCGGCGCAUUAGCUAGUUGGUGAGGUAACGGCUCACCAAGGCAACGAUGCGUAGCCGACCUGAGAGGGUGAUCGGCCACACUGGGACUGAGACACGGCCCAGACUCCUACGGGAGGCAGCAGUAGGGAAUCUUCCGCAAUGGACGAAAGUCUGACGGAGCAACGCCGCGUGAGCGAAGAAGGCCUUCGGGUCGUAAAGCUCUGUUGUUAGGGAAGAACAAGUACGAGAGUAACUGCUCGUACCUUGACGGUACCUAACCAGAAAGCCACGGCUAACUACGUGCCAGCAGCCGCCGUAAUAC